rnacentral:rRNA from 1 species
UGCAAGUCGAGGGGUAGAGGGUGCUUGCACCCUUGAGACCGGCGCACGGGUGCGUAACGCGUAUGCAACCUACCUAUUGCAGGGGAAUAGCCCAGGGAAACUUGGAUUAAUGCCCCAUAGUCCAUAUUGAGAGCAUUUGAGAUAUGGUAAAGAUUUAUCGGCAAUAGAUGGGCAUGCGUCCCAUUAGCUAGUUGGUAUGGUAACGGCAUACCAAGGCUACGAUGGGUAGGGGCCCUGAGAGGGGGAUCCCCCACACUGGUACUGAGACACGGACCAGACUCCUACGGGAGGCAGCAGUGAGGAAUAUUGGACAAUGGGCGGGAGCCUGAUCCAGCCAUGCCGCGUGCAGGAAGACUGCCCUAUGGGUUGUAAACUGCUUUUUUACGGGAAGAAACACCCCCACGUGUGGGGGCUUGACGGUACCGUACGAAUAAGGACCGGCUAACUCCGUGCCAGCAGCCGCGGUAAUACGGAGGGUCCGAGCGUUAUCCGGAAUCAUUGGGUUUAAAGGGUCCGUAGGCGGGCGUCUAAGUCAGUGGUGAAAUCUCGCGGCUCAACCGUGAAAUUGCCAUUGAUACUGGUCGCCUUGAAUUAGUGUGAAGUGGCUAGAAUAUGUAGUGUAGCGGUGAAAUGCUUAGAUAUUACAUAGAAUACCGAUUGCGAAGGCAGGUCACUAACACUAUAUUGACGCUGAUGGACGAAAGCGUGGGGAGCGAACAGGAUUAGAUACCCUGGUAGUCCACGCCGUAAACGAUGGAUACUAGCUGUCCGGCCUGCAUUGGUAGGCUGGGUGGCCAAGCGAAAGUGAUAAGUAUCCCACCUGGGGAGUACGUUCGCAAGAAUGAAACUCAAAGGAAUUGACGGGGGCCCGCACAAGCGGUGGAGCAUGUGGUUUAAUUCGAUGAUACGCGAGGAACCUUACCAGGGCUUAAAUGUAGUCUGACAGGGGUGGAAACACCCCCUUCUUCGGACAGACUGCAAGGUGCUGCAUGGUUGUCGUCAGCUCGUGCCGUGAGGUGUCAGGUUAAGUCCUAUAACGAGCGCAACCCCUGUCGUUAGUUGCCAGCAUGUAAAGAUGGGAACUCUAACGAGACUGCCGGUGCAAACCGUGAGGAAGGUGGGGAUGACGUCAAAUCAUCACGGCCCUUACGUCCUGGGCCACACACGUGCUACAAUGGCAGGUACAAUGGGCAGCCACGCCGCAAGGCGGAGCGAAUCCACAAAACCUGUCUCAGUUCGGAUCGGGGUCUGCAACUCGACCCCGUGAAGCUGGAAUCGCUAGUAAUCGGAUAUCAGCCAUGAUCCGGUGAAUACGUUCCCGGGCCUUGUACACACCGCCCGUCAAGCCAUGGAAGCUGGAAGCACCUGAAGUCCGUCACCGCGAGGAGCGGCCU